UGUCAUGUUCAUGAAUUGGAAGAUUAGAUAUUGAGAGGUUUUUGUUUUUCCCUUGUAGAAAUUAUUCAUAAAAUUUAUGUAGAAACGAAAGGUUCAAAAAUAGCAAAGACACUUGAAGAACCAGGUAGGAAGGACUUGUUCUACCAGCUAUUGAUUUAUUAUAUUAUUACUCCAAUUAAGACACCGAGAUUGUCAUCAAUAUUGAAAAAUAGAUCAGAAGCAACAAAUUAAAAAUCCAGGAACCAGUCAUUUUUCCAUACUAAUUUGGUCUCAAUGAGAACAACAUAAUUCUCAUUCAUCUCCCUGUAGAAGUUAUAUAUUUCCAAAGUGGUUCAAAUGUACUGAAAGCCAACUCACCACUAGGAAUUGAAUCAAAA
rnacentral:lncRNA from 1 species